rnacentral:rRNA from 1 species
UCCCAGCAGUCCAAGUCGCAGCCACAUUUGUUGGGUCUAAAACAUCCGUAGCUCGCUUUUCAAGUCUUUUGUGAAAUCGGGACUCUUAAGGUUCCGGCGUGCAAAAGAUACUGUUUAGCUAGAGACCGGGAGGUGUAAGAAGUACGGAUAGGGUAACGGUAAAAUGUGUUGAUCCUAUCUGGACUAACAGUCGCGAAGGCGUCUUACAAGAACGGUUCUGACAGUGAGGGAUGAAGGCUAGGGGCGCAAAGUGG